GUCGUAACAAGGUUUCCGUAGGUGAACCUGCGGAAGGAUCAUUAGAAAUGGAAAAAAGUGGUAAUAUUACCGCAAAGCUCCAAUUAUUCAACGCGGACUGGGGGAUGGCUGACCUAGGAUGACGGUGUCAGUAGCUGGAAGUUUGCUUCUGGUAGUGUUAAGAUAUGUUUUGUAUAAACAUCCACUGUAAAAAGAUCUUUUCACCUGACUCAAGACUGGGAACGUUGGAACCUGGAAAGUGUUAAACACCGACUGUGUCUUAUGGGCACAGACAGUGUGAAAUUACUUGUUGAAACACUUUAAUUUAUGCUUCGGCUGCACCUUCCGCCUUAAAAAAGUGGAUGGAUAAGUCAGCCAGAGGCACUUCUUAAUAAAAUUAGUUGAUGAAAUGUCAUGCUGUCUGAUACUGUUUAGUAUUUGAGAAAUCGAAUAUAUAUUAAAACUUUCAGCAACGGAUCUCUUGGUUCUCGCAUCGAUGAAGAACGCAGCGAAACGCGAUAGGUAAUGUGAAUUGCAGAAUUCCGUGAAUCAUCGAAUCUUUGAACGCACAUUGCGCCUUCUGGUAUUCCGGUAGGCAUAUCUGUUUGGGCGUCAGCAAAAACCUCUCAGCAUAUUAUUAUGUUGGUAAUGGGCGUUGGUGGUGAUCCACCCGCUUUAAACCUGCUGCACGACCGCAAGCUACUGCUAGGUUUCAUGAAGUUGGUGUUUACAUUUUUUCAUAACUUGGCUGUUGGCGAGCGGCGUUAAACCCGAUGGUCCACUCCUUAACAAGAGGGGACCGAAGUUUGACCUCAAAUCAGAUAAGGAUACCCGCUGAACUUAAGCAUAUCAAUAAGCGGAGGAAAAGAAACCAACAGGGAUUGCCUCAGUAACGGCGAGUGAAACGGCAAGAGCUCAGAUUUGAAAUCCGGUAGGCUUUGCCUUCCCGAGUUGUAAUCUGUAGAGAGGACUUCGGCUAAGGCGAUGGUCUAGAUUCCUUGGAAUAGGAUGACACAGAGGGUGAGAAUCCCGUCUUUGGCUGACUGCCGAUGCCAUGUGAAGCUUCUUCGGCGAGUCGAGUUGUUUGGGAAUGCAGCUCUAAAUGGGUGGUAAAUUCCAUCUAAGGCUAAAUAUCUGCGAGAGACCGAUAGCGCACAAGUAGAGUGAUCGAAAGAUGAAAAGCACUUUGAAAAGAGAGUUAAAAAGUACGUGAAAUUGUUGAAAGGGAAGCGCUUGCUAUCAGAAUUGGGGUUGACCGAUCAGCGUUCCUUUUGGUUCGUGCACUCGGUUGACAUUCCGUGCCAGCACCAGUUGGGACGGCAUGAUAAAGGCGACGGGAAUGUGGCUCCCCUCGGGGAGUGUUAUAGCCCGACGUGUCAUGAUGCCAGUCCCGACUGAGGACCGCGCCCUAGGCAAGGGUGCUGGCUUAAUGGUUGUAAGCGGCC
rnacentral:rRNA from 1 species